rnacentral:rRNA from 1 species
GAAAGUAAUGAAGGGCGUACGGUGGAUGCCUAGGCUCUUACAGGCGAUGAAGGACGUGAUAAGCUGCGAAAAGCCGCGGUGAGGCGCAAAUGGCCCUUGACCCGCGGAUCUCCGAAUGGGACAACCCAAUAUCUUGAAGAGAUAUUAUCCCGCCGAUGCGGGAGGCGAACGCGGGGAACUGAAACAUCUUAGUACCCGCAGGAAAAGAAAAUAAAAAAUGAUUCCCCCAGUAGUGGCGAGCGACCGGGGAACAGCCCAAACCGACGUUGUCUCGGCAUCGUCGGGGUUGUAGGACCGCGCCAUCGCAAGAAAGGCCGUGAGUGGAAGCGACUGGAAAGCCGCGCCAUAGAGGGUGACAGCCCCUUACACGAAUCAGCCUGAAGCGUAGCGGACUCCUGAGUAGCGCGGGACACGAGUAAUCCUGUGUGAAUCCGCCGGGCCCAUCCGGCAAGGCUAAAUACUCGUAAGAGACCGAUAGUGAACCAGUACCGUGAGGGAAAGGUGAAAAGGACCCCUUGCAGGGGAGUGAAACAGUUCCUGAAACCGUACGCCUACAAGCGGUCGGAGCAUCUUGAAUGAUGUGACGGCGUGCCUUUUGCAUAAUGAACCUACGAGUUGCCGUCACCAGCGAGGUUAAGUGCGAUGACGCACCGAGCCGCAGCGGAAGCGAGUCUUAAAAGGGCGCAAUAGUUGGUGGAGGCAGACGCGAAACCGAGUGAUCUACACUUGUCCAGGAUGAAGUCCCGGUAACACGGGAUGGAGGUCCGCACCAAUAAGCGUUGAAAAGCUUCUGGAUGAGGUGAGUGUAGGAGUGAAAGGCCAAUCAAACUCGGAGAUAGCUCGUACUCCCCGAAAGGCAUUUAGGUGCCGCCUGUGGCGUUCCCGACGUGAGGUAGAGCGACUGAUAGGAUGCGAGGGCUUCACCGCCUAUCAAGUCCUGACAAACUCCGAAUGCACGUCGGCCAAGCCAUGGAGUAAGGGCAUGGGUGCUAAGGUCCGUGCCCGAGAGGAGAAGAAUCCAGACCACCGGCUAAGGUCCCGAAAUACUGGUUAAGUUAGACUAACGCAGUCCGGCCCCCAAGACAGCUAGGAUGUUGGCUUGGAAGCAGCCAUUCAUUCAAAGAGUGCGUAACAGCUCACUAGUCGAGGAGCUGGGCGUGGAUAAUAAUCGGGUAUAAAACCAGUUACCGAAGCCGUGGGAUGCAUAAGCAUCGGUAGGGGAGCAUUGCAUGCAGCUUGGAAGGCGGGGCGCGAGCCCCUCUGGAGCGCAUGGAAACGCAAAUGUAGGUAUAAGUAACGACAAGGGGGGUGGGAUGCCCCCCCGCCGAAAGACCAAGGUUUCCUGAACAACGCUAAUCGGUUCAGGGUCAGUCGGGUCCUAAGCAUAAGCCGUAUGGCGAUGGCGAUGGACGAAACGGUUAAUAUUCCGUUACUGUCUUGGUGUGUGACGCGGCGACGGAGUAGUGACACGGCCGCCUCCUGACGGAAAAGGGGGUUGAAGCGCAAAGGUGUUGAGGAAGGCAGGCAAAUCCACCUUCCGAGCCGAAGCGCGAUAGUACGCUGCGCCCUUUGGGGCAAGGCGAUAGUGCCGGUAAUCAGACUUCCAAGAAAACCCGCUAAACUUCAGCACCAAGUCACCCGUACUCCAAACGGACACACGUGGUCGGGUAGAAUAUACUAAGGCGCUUGGGAGAUUCACGGUUAAGGAACUAGGCAAAUUGACCCCGUACCUUCGGAAUAAGGGGUCCUCGCUUUUGCGAGGCGCAGAGAAUAGGUCCAGGCAACUGUUUAACAAAAACACAGGGCUGUGCCAAUUUGAAAGAAGAAGUAUACAGCCUGACACCUGCCCGGUGCCGGAAGGUUAAGAGGAGAGCUCAUCAGCGAUGAGAAGGCUUGAAUUGAAGCCCCGGUAAACGGCGGCCGUAACUAUAACGGUCCUAAGGUAGCGAAAUUCCUUGUCGGGUAAGUUCCGACCUGCACGAAUGGUGUAAUGAUCCGGACAC